CACGGGGGGAGCAAGCGUUGUUCGGAUUCAUUGGGCGUAAAGGGCUCGUAGGUGGCUUUGUAAGUCGGAGGUGAAAUCCCACGGCUCAACCGUGGACACGCCUUCGAAACUGUGGAGCUUGAGGCUGGGAGAGGAGAUCGGAAUUCCUGGUGUAGCGGUGAAAUGCGCAGAUAUCAGGAAGAACACCCGUGGCGAAGGCGGCUCUCUGGGACGGUACUGACGCUGAGACGCGAAAGCGUGGGGAGCGAACAGG
rnacentral:rRNA from 1 species